UGAUGUAUGGUUGGGUGGGGACGGGCAGACCCCGCUCUGUUCAUCAGUAACGGUCACGGCCGCGACCGACACUGAUGUUAUUCAUCAGUAACGGUCGCGCCGGACCCGUUACUAAUGUGCCGUUACAUAUAGACCAUUUUGUAGUAGUGCUACCUCGACACUCCAGUAGUGCGACUCCAAAAAGUCUUCAUGUUUAGGGAAACAGUAAGAGAAUAUCAUACUGAAAUCAAAUUAAAGCUUCACUAAAGGAUGUACGUACAGCAAUGUGGUCCUGUUG
rnacentral:lncRNA from 1 species